ACACCGGACUGGCCGUGGACUGUUAUCAAUGGAGUUCAGUAUACUACCCUAUCUACUAUUGUGAAUGUUUGAGAUUCUCCAUUGCAAAAUUAAAAAAAAAAAUUGUUGCGGAGUGAUAGUGGAUAGGCUCGAAUAACAACAUCCCACUAGGAAGAAAAUUACUUGCCUUUUAAAUGAUCGCUCAACCCUCAUCUGCUCAAGAGCAAGGCCCUUUCAUUGGGCCAGUCUGUGAUCCUGUCUCGUGCUUGAUCGUGGCCCCACCCGGGAGAUGUAGGCCUUGGGCCCUAAGCCUUUGGCGGGGGAAACAGCGUCUGUUUGUAACUUAAUGGCUUCCCUUUGCUUCGUUGUAUUUAUUUUUUGGCUACCUCUAUUUUGGCAACUAUUUUGGUUUCCUAUUUACAGAAGUGACAAAGUUUUCUUCUUAAAUGUAUGUAAACAAUUUGAUUUAAAGACAAGAAAUAGCACAGGUGGUACUCAGAUAUUGUAGGACUUUUUUUAGGGCGGCAGGAAAUGACAAGUACGGGAGGCACCAAUGCAGUCACAGGAAACAUACAACCGUCUUAACAAAAUCCCGGGUCCCUUCCAUCUGGGAGGUUCUCUGUGCCUGGGGCAAGAUGGCCUGCUCAGGCCUACUGUCUCCCUGAAUUUCAGACGAAGCACCUGACACACAGAAGGGAGGCCAACAGCAGGCAGCGGAGGCAGAUCACACAGGGAAGGCUGGCUGCCAGAAUGGACCCCAGCUGGGCAUCAGACGCCAUCCACUACCAGAGUCACAUCACCCCCAGGCCCGCUUGGCCAGACCCUCAGCCUUGGCAGUCGCUCGUCAGCUCUCUGUUUCUAGAAUCUUGCCACCUCAAGAUGUCGUAUGGAUGAAAUCAUACAGUAUGAAACCUUUGGGGACUGGCUUUUUUCCACUUAGUGAAAUUCCCUGGAGAUUCACCUGAGAUGUUGCAUGUAUCAAUAGCUUGCUCCUUUACUACCAAGUGGUAUUGCAUGCCAUGGGUGGGUCACAGUCUGUCUAACCGUCAUCCCCGGAAGGACCCCUGUGCUGUUGCCAGUUUCGGGGUACUCUGAAUAAAGCUGCUAUGAACAUCUUA